CUUUGGGGAGGAAACGCUUUUUGUUUUUCAAUGCAGAAGGUCAGUGUUACUAGAAAAUAAAUAACAUGAAAGAGGCGGAAGAGGACAAGGGAAAUUGCUCCACAGAAGAAAAACAAAGAACAGCAGUCACAAACUUCUCAUGAACUCCUGAACUAUCAAGUUAACCAAGACCUUGCCAAAAGGAAGCUGACACCUCAUCAGAAGAUAUCUGGGGAGAAUGGUACUGCUUGAAUCCUGCCUCUAUCUUCAGAAUGAUAUUUCAGUCUUCAAGGCAUGGCAAUGGAUUUCCACAGGCAGAUGGAUCAGCAGAAAAUUCUGCAGAACACUGGGCAGGGGGAGAGCACCUGUGAAGAAUCAAGAACUGAAAAAAGGCUAUGCAGUGGAUUGGAGCUGUAAAUAUUGGCUCUGAUCCUGCAGAACUUUGGCACCCACUGAGCACCAGCAUGAACAAAGCUACAGCUGCCCGCCUCAGUGGUCUGAUGACUACCUGUUUCAAG